CGUGCUGACUUCGCCCGCCACUGGGCGCCCACCGCGUACGUUUCGAGAAGUGUUCAACGUUUGGCAGCGAGCAGCUGUGUCCCUGACCCGCGUCACAACUUUUGCUAGAGCAAACGCAGCGUCGACAACUGCCCGCCGUUCGUGAAGAAUGCCAAGAUGAGCUUCGCUUCGCAUCCAGUGAAUCAGUGUCCGGGAUAAAUCAACUAUGUGUGCGAAAACCACUCAGGAACACACUGUGCAUUGGUUCAGAAGGGGACUUCGUCUACAUGACAACCCUAGUCUGCGUGCGGGACUGAUAGGUGCGAGGACAUUUCGGUGUAUUUUCAUCCUGGACCCUUGGUUCGCGGGUUCAUCUAAUGUCGGCAUUAACAAGUGGAGGUUUCUUCUCCAGUGUCUCGAAGACCUCGAUUCUAGCUUGCGGAAGCUCAAUUCUCGGCUGUUCGUCAUUAGAGGGCAGCCAGCUGAUGCCCUUCCAAAAUUGUUUAAGCAGGAAUGGGGGACAACAAACUUGACCUUUGAGGAAGAUCCUGAACCAUUUGGAAAGGUGCGUGAUCAGAACAUAAUGGCAAUGUGCAGAGAAAUGGGAAUCUCAGUAAUUUCCAUAGCUUCACACACACUGUACAGUCUUGAUACGAUCAUUGAAAAAAAUGGAGGGAAAGCACCUUUAACUUACCACCAGUUUCAAAAUAUAGUGGCUUCCAUGGACUCACCACCUCCAGCUGAACCCAGUAUCACACCAGCAUGUGUGAAAGAUAAAUUUACCCCUAUUUCUGAUGACCAUGACGAACGAUUUGGUGUUCCUACCUUAGAGGAAUUAGGUUUUGAUACUGAUGGCUUGAUGCCUCCUGUGUGGCAGGGAGGAGAAUCUGAGGCACUUGCGAGGCUGGAAAGGCACCUCGAAAGAAAGGCAUGGGUGGCAUCCUUUGGAAGACCAAGAAUGACAUCACAGUCAUUGCUUGCCAGUCAGACAGGUCUCAGUCCGUAUUUAAGAUUUGGAUGUUUGUCUACGAGGCUUUUCUAUUACCAGCUUACUGAUCUUUACAAAAAGAUAAAAAAGGCAUGCCCGCCUCUUUCUUUACAUGGACAGCUGUUAUGGCGGGAAUUUUUUUACUGUGCAGCAACAAAAAAUCCAUAUUUUGAUAAAAUGUAUGGAAACCCAAUAUGUGUACAAAUUCCAUGGGACAGGAAUCCAGAAGCACUUGCCAAGUGGGCCACAGGCCAAACAGGUUAUCCGUGGAUUGAUGCUAUAAUGAUACAGUUGCGUGAAGAAGGUUGGAUACAUUAUUUAGCCAGGCAUGCUGUGGCGUGUUUCCUUACACGAGGAGAUUUGUGGAUUUCAUGGGAAGAAGGCAUGAAGGUGUUUGAUGAACUACUGCUUGAUGCUGACUGGUCUGUUAAUGCUGGAAUGUGGAUGUGGCUGUCUUGCUCAUCCUUCUUUCAGCAGUUCUUCCAUUGUUAUUGUCCUGUCCGGUUUGGUCGCAAGGCAGAUCCAAAUGGGGACUUCAUAAGGAAGUACCUGCCCAUUUUGAAGAACUUUCCAACACGGUACAUCCAUGAACCUUGGAAAGCCCCUGAAUCAGUACAGAUAACAGCAAAGUGCAUCAUUGGGAAGGAAUUUCCUUUGCCUAUAGUGGAUCACCAAUACGCAAGUCGAAUAAACAUAGAACGAAUGAAGCAAGUGUAUCAACAGUUAAGCAAAUAUCGAGGUCCAGGCAAGGAAGAUAUUACUUCAAGCGCAUGUAAGGUUUUAGGUCUUUUGGCAACAGUUCCUACAAUCCGAUCACCUUCAGUUAAGGGCGGUCAAUACGACGGCAAAGAGGACAAAACUACACCAGAAAACAGGAUAGUGAGUGCAAACAAUGAUUGCAGUAUGUAUGUUGAAACUCAACAGCAGAUGACACCGCAAGAAACUAAAUGUGACUGGGAGUUUUGCAGGAGAAACAUGUGAUUCUUUACAUUGGCAGUAACCAGUGAAAUCCCAUAAAACUAAUGUGUUAUGAAACAGAAGUCUUUCAUUAGUAGGCCUUACAGCAAGUGUUGGGUGCACAUUUUAAGAAGUUAAAUUAUAGUCUGUGAUAAUGUACUAAAUGUGAGGACAUAUGUGGGAAACAAUCAGUAUAAAAUGAGACAUUUCACUGAAUUCCAGUCAUUGUAUAUAGAGUGUAAAUAUAUCACAAAUUUCUCAUUUUUUAACUAAAACUAUUUUUAAAAUAUUUCCAGUGAUGCGAGAUUUUUCUGUCUUGAUUUGUUACUCAUGUUCAUUUCUCACAAUGUUAAUUGUAGCAAUUUUGCUUUUAUAAAGCAACAUUAUGAUUUACCUUUUAUUGUAUGUGUUUUCUACCAGUAGUCAUAGCAUUUACUGUGACUGUCUUUCCAAUAUACUAUGAAAUUAUUUUCUACAUAUUUUCUAUUUGAAUCAUAUUAUGCACAGGAAAAUCAUCUCAUAUUUUAAAAUAUGCAAAGAAAGUAACAUUUAGUAAUUAAAUUGUCAUUAUCAUAAUGGAAAAUUCCUCAUACAGUACAAUGUAAUGUGCCUAGAAAAGAAUUCAUUGUAUACAGGAACUGUUGAGCAGUAGCUUAUUUAUUUAUUGUAUUUUUUGCAUGGAGCCACCAACUGAUGGCUUUUGCAAACUCCAUAGCAAUUUUUUUACAUGUUUUGUACAAACAGAGAAUACACACAUUUUAUAUAUGCAUAAUACAGAUGUCAGUGUACUUAGUAAGACCACAAAAUUGUGUGAUACACCAUAAUUAUUAUAUAUAUUCAGAUUUUGAUUUAAGUGUCAGGAAGUCGUUUCUGAAAGUAUUUGUAUGGAGUGUAGCCAUGUAUGGAAGUGAAACAUGGACGAUAACCAGUUUGGACAAGAAGAGAAUAGAAGCUCUCGAAAUGUGGUGCAACAGAAGAAUGCUGAAGAUUAGAUGGGUAGAUCACAUAACUAAUGAGGAGGUGUUGAAUAGGAUUGGGGAGAAGAGAAGUUUGUGGCACAACUUGACUAGAAGAAGGGAUCGGUUGGUAGGACAUGUUUUGAAGCAUCAAGGGAUCACAAAUUUAGCAUUGGAGGGCAGCGUGGAGGGUAAAAAUCGUAGAGGGAGACCAAGAGAUCAAUACACUAAGCAGAUUCAGAAGGAUGUAGGUUGCAAUAGGUACUAGGAGAUGAAGAAGCUUGCACAGGAUAGAGUAGCAUCAAACCAGUCUCAGGACUGAAGACCACAACAACAACAUCAUUCAGAUUUUAUAGAACAGAAUAUAAAAAGAUUUCAAUUUAGUUUAAUAUUAAUAUUCAUUCAGGGAGUAUAUGCACUUAUCUAUCAGGAAUGAUUUCAGUUCCCUUUGUGACAAAGAACUAGGCAGUUUGUAAUAACAUAUCUGGACAUUAAUGCAUGGACCAUCACUUAUUGUUUUUAGUUUAGUUGUUUGUCUGUAAAAGCAGUCUUUCCUUAUUUAUAUUGUAGACAUGCAUAUCAGAGCACUUGGUUGCAGUGUUUUGAUGUGUCACACAAAAUGUAAUUAAUUUGUAAAGAUACAACAAGUAAACUGUGGUCAUGUGUUAUGUACGGAAA